GUGGGGAAUAUUGGACAAUGGGCGAAAGCCUGAUCCAGCCAUGCCGCGUGUGUGAAGAAGGUCUUCGGAUUGUAAAGCACUUUAAGUUGGGAGGAAGGGCAGUAAGUUAAUACCUUGCUGUUUUGACGUUACCGACAGAAUAAGCACCGGCUAACUUCGUGCCAGCAGCCGCGGUAAUACGAAGGGUGCAAGCGUUAAUCGGAAUUACUGGGCGUAAAGCGCACGCAGGCUGAAUUAUAAGUCGGUAGUAAAAGGCGGGGGCUCAACUUCCGGAUAUCUAGCGAUACUGUAAAUCUAGAGUAUGUGAGAGGGAAGCGGAAUUCCCUGUGUAGCGGUGAAAUGCGUAGAUAUCGGGAGGAACACCAGUGGCGAAGGCGGCUUCCUGGCACAAUACUGACGCUCAUGUGCGAAAGCUAGGGCAGCGAACGGGAUUAGAAACCCUUGUAGUCC
rnacentral:rRNA from 1 species